rnacentral:rRNA from 1 species
UAUGUGAUCGUCUCUCGCAUAUCAAUAAGCGGAGGAAAAGAAACUAACAAGGAUUCCCCUAGUAACGGCGAGUGAAGCGGGAAGAGCUCAAAUUUGAAAUCUUAAAGGGUUUCCCUUUACGAAUUGUAGUUUAAAGAAGUGUUUUCUGUUGAGGUUUUGGUAAAGGUUCUUUGGAAUAGGACAUCAUAGAGGGUGAGAAUCCCGUAUUUGACCUUUACUUUCAACUUUGUGAUACACUUUCAAAGAGUCGGAUUGUUUGGGAAUGCAGUCCAAAAUGGGUGGUAAAUUUCAUCUAAAGCUAAAUAUUGGCGAGAGACCGAUAGCGAACAAGUACCGUGAGGGAAAGACUGAAAAGAACUUUGAAAAGAGAGUUAAACAGUACGUGAAAUUGUCAAAAGGGAAGCGUUUGACACCAGUGUUGUUUUUCUGAAAAUCAAUUAAAGAACUGUUUAUGCUAAGUUGUUUAGACUUUAUCAGCUAUCUGUUUAGUUUUGAGCUUUUCUUUAAUGCACUUUUCAGUUAACAAGUCAACAUCAAUUUCUUUUGCUGUAAAAAAGCCUGAGGAAGGUGGCUUGAGAUUCGUCUUAAGUGUUUAUAGCCUCUUGCCUAUGCAGUCGGAGAGAUUGAGGUCUGCAGCGUAGAUCCUUCGGGGCUAAAUGCAUUUGUGCUAAGUUAUAGCAUUUUAUAGACAACUUGUUGACUAUGAUUUGUCUUGUAGCUUACUCGCUUAUGUUAUUUUACCUACGCUUAGGAUGUUGACACACGCGCGUGCUCG